rnacentral:lncRNA from 1 species
AUGGCAAGUCCCAAAGGAAGUCGAAGUCAGAAGAUGAAGCUUCCCAUCUUUACCCGAAAGGGGACACUGGAGGUGCCGUCCCCAACAGAGAAGGACUGGUCUAAGGACGAUGAAGAUGAUUGGGUCUUCAAGGAUCCAGAUCAAGAGCAAGAUUCCCUACCCCAGCCAUAUCGAAUGAUCAACAAGAUGGUGAACUCACUGUUUGACCGUGCGUGGGAAAUUAUUGAGGCAAGGGAUACCUCAAGCAAAGCUGAGCUCCACCGGAUCCAGCCCACCAUCUACCAUCCACUUAGAGAAAUUAAGCUCAGCACAACGCCAAACUGCAUGGAUGUUUCCCAAGACUAUGUGUUUAUUGGAGGAAGCAAAGGAUUCUCUAUCUAUAAUCUGCAAAAUGCUAAACAAUUAUAUGUUUGGGAGAAACUUAAGGUUGAUGUCAUUUCCAUCUUGGCCACAGAUUUGGGGAGUGAAAUACUUAUUGCUCCUGUGGAUGAAACGGGUAUCGUUCGACUGUUUUAUUUUUAUAAGGAUGGUCUUUACCUCAUCAAAGCCAUCAAUGAAUCGGAGGACGCCAGCAAGCAAACCACCUGUAUAAAGAUGGAAAUUUCUAAAGGAGGGAACUUUGCAGCCUUGCUCCUACAAGGAGCCGGGGACAUUUGGCUGGAUGUGUAUAAGCUGCCCAAGGAGUCUUGGAUCAAGGAAGUGCAGUACCCCCAACUUGCCGUAAAUACAAAGAAGAAAGUCAGACAGCAGCUGCAAUUGAACACUCCUGAUUCUGUGCCUGCAGAUAGUUUAGAUACGGAUAUGAACAUUUCUUUUAGAGGAGAUGUUAAGUUGAGUCUUCCAGUUCAAAUAAUGAAAAUCAAACCACCCAAACCGAUUACAGGUACCACAUUUAAGAGCCCCCUGGAAGCUUUUGCAAAGAUAGCGGGUUGCCGCGGGCUGGGCUCUGGGCAGAAUCACUAUAUCAAGGCGAGCCAGUGGGAGAAGCGGGAGGCAAUCUUAAAAGCCACCUACAAGAAGUACCUGGAUGGGGAAUGGGAGCCUGAACCUGUCAGUAUGGCUACGUUCUACUUCCUCCUUCCCAGUCGCGUAAUCCCAAUGCCCGCGGGAGUCAAGAGAUCCCCAGGGCUAGCCUGUGCCCUUGGUGUACACUGGACCGAUCAUCACAACUUCUUCUUCUAUUCACUUAACCGGACGCUGAAGGAUAAAGUUGACCCCGAGGGCGUGUGGCCGUGCGCCGCGCCCAUCGUGGUGUCUCAGCUCAGUCCCUGCUCUUCCUACCUGGUGCUGGCCUGCGAGGACGGCGUGCUCUCGCUCUGGGACCUGGCGCAAGGACUCACUCUUGGAGUUGUGGCUCUUCCUGAAAAUUGCUUCUGCCAAAGCAUCCACUUCCUGAAAUACUUCCUAGUCCACAAAGGACAGAAUGUGUAUCCCGAGGGCUCAGUGAAAUGCCACAUGAAAUGCGUGGUGCUGUGUACAGACGCGUCUCUCCAUCUGGUGACAGCUUCCGCGAUCCAGAACUCCACCAUCAGUCUCCUGGUGGAGAGGCCGGUGAAGUACCUGGAUGAAGCCAUCUGUGCUGUGGCCCCGGUCCAAGCCUUACCUGGCAUGGUGCUGACCUUUUCCAGAGACGGCUCUGUGCUCCUCAUGGACGUGGCCAAGCCGCAGAUCGUCUGCUCCUUUGCUCUCCCCAGAUCCUACCCCCUGGCGGCCCCCUGGAACCCAGUGCUUGUCAUGUCUUUACACCACCCGGGUUUCCUGCUCCGAGGAGACCAUCCAGAUGAAAUUGGAUCUGCCAGCAAAGCUGAAGACACCCCAAAUUCUAUUUUCUAUUUUAAUUUUGAGGACUACCCACUCCUAGAAAACUUGUCAAGAAACUGCACCAUUCCUCAAGCUAGCAUAUUGGACCACCCGACAUUUGCCCGGGCACUGCCCCUGGAGGAGAGAUGCGAGAAAUUCUUCCAAAAGAGUAUUCAGAACCUGGCGAAGUACAAGGUGAAAGAGGAAGAGCACUGGACCCGGCUGCGGAGGUAUUCCUUGCUUCUCCAAAAAGAGGACCUUAAGAAGUGA